CCUGGCGGCAGUAGCGCGGUGGUCCCACCUGACCCCAUGCCGAACUCAGAAGUGAAACGCCGUAGCGCCGAUGGUAG
rnacentral:rRNA from 1 species